AUGAACGCUGGCGGCGUGCCCAAUACAUGCAAGUCGAGCGAACAGAUAAGGAGCUUGCUCCUUUGACGUUAGCGGCGGACGGGUGAGUAACACGUGGGUAACCUACCUAUAAGACUGGGAUAACUUCGGGAAACCGGAGCUAAUACCGGAUAACAUUUGGAACCGCAUGGUUCUAAAGUGAAAGAUGGUUUUGCUAUCACUUAUAGAUGGACCCGCGCCGUAUUAGCUAGUUGGUAAGGUAACGGCUUACCAAGGCGACGAUACGUAGCCGACCUGAGAGGGUGAUCGGCCACACUGGAACUGAGACACGGUCCAGACUCCUACGGGAGGCAGCAGUAGGGAAUCUUCCGCAAUGGGCGAAAGCCUGACGGAGCAACGCCGCGUGAGUGAUGAAGGGUUUCGGCUCGUAAAACUCUGUUAUUAGGGAAGAACAAAUGUGUAAGUAACUGUGCACGUCUUGACGGUACCUAAUCAGAAAGCCACGGCUAACUACGUG
rnacentral:rRNA from 1 species